CGUAGGGUGCAAGCGUUAAUCGGAAUUACUGGGCGUAAAGAGUGCGUAGGCGGUAGCGUAAGCCAGAUGUGAAAAACCUGGGCUUAACCGAGGUCGUGCAUAUGAGACUGCGCUACUAGAGUGUGUCAGAGGGGGGUAGAAUUCCACGUGUAGCAGUGAAAUGCGUAGAGAUGUGGAGGAAUACCGAAGGCGAAGGCAGCCCCCUGGGAUAACACUGACGCUGAGGUACGAAAGCGUGGGGAGCAAACAGGAUUAGAUACCCUGGUAGUCCACGCCCUAAACGAUGUCUACUGGUUGUUAGGCCAAGUAAGGCUUAGUAACGAAGCGAACGCGUGAAGUAGACCGCCUGGGGAGUACGGUCGCAAGAUUA
rnacentral:rRNA from 1 species